GCAAGUCGAGGGGUAACAUUGUAGCUUGCUAGAAGAUGACGAGCGGCGGACGGGUGAGUAAUGCUUGGGAAUAUGCCUUAUGGUGGGGGACAACAGUUGGAAACGACUGCUAAUACCGCAUAAUGUCUACGGACCAAAGGGGGCUUCGGCUCUCGCCUUUAGAUUGGCCCAAGUGGGAUUAGCUAGUUGGUGAGGUAAUGGCUCACCAAGGCGACGAUCCCUAGCUGGUUUGAGAGGAUGAUC
rnacentral:rRNA from 1 species